GACAGAGGGUGCAAGCGUUGUUCGGAAUUACUGGGCGUAAAGGGCGUGUAGGCGGUGGAGUAUGUCCGAUGUGAAAGCCCCCGGCUUAACUGGGGAAGUGCAUUGGAAACUACUUCACUCGAGUGCGAGAGAGGAUGGCGGAAUUCUCGGUGUAGAGGUGAAAUUCGUAGAUACCGGGAGGAAUACCGGAGGCGAAGGCGGCCAUCUGGAUCGCAACUGACGCUGAGACGCGAAAGCGUGGGGAGCAAACAGG
rnacentral:rRNA from 1 species